GAUGAACGCUGGCGGCGUGCCUAAUACAUGCAAGUCGAGCGAACAGACGAGAGUGCUUGCCCUCUCUGACGUUAGCGGCGGACGGGUGAGUAACACGUGUGUAACCUACCUAUAAGACUGGGAUAACUUCGGGAAACCGGAGCUAAUACCGGAUAAUAUUUAGCUUCGCAUGAAGCAAUAGUGAAAGACGGUUCUGCUGUCACUUAUAGAUGGACCCGCGGUGUAUUAGCUAGUUGGUGAGGUAACGGCUCACCAAGGCAACGAUACAUAGCCGACCUGAGAGGGUGAUCGGCCACACUGGGACUGAGACACGGCCCAGACUCCUACGGGAGGCAGCAGUGGGGAAUCUUCCGCAAUGGACGAAAGUCUGACGGAGCAAUGCCGCGUGAGUGAAGAAGGUUUUCGGAUCGUAAAACUCUGUUGUAAGGGAAGAACAAGUACGUUAGUAACUGAACGUACCUUGACGGUACCUUACCAGAAAGCCACGGCUAACUACGUG
rnacentral:rRNA from 1 species